AUGCUCGCUUCAGCAACACAUAUACUAAAAUUGGAACUAUACAGAGAAGAUGAGCACAGCCCCUUGUGCAAGGAUGACAUGCAAAUCCAUGAAGCGUUCCAUAUUUGU
ensembl:snRNA RNU6-359P RNA, U6 small nuclear 359, pseudogene